UGGGGAAUAUUGGGCAAUGGGCGCAAGCCUGACCAAGCAACGCCGCGUGAAGGAAGAAGGCUUUCGGGUUGUAAACUUCUUUUGUCGGGGACGAAACAAAUGACGGUACCCGACGAAUAAGCCACGGCUAACAACGUGCCAGCAGCCGCGGUAAUACGUAGGUGGCAAGCGUUAUCCGGAUUUACUGGGUGUAAAGGGCGUGUAGGCGGGAUUGCAAGUCAGAUGUGAAAACUGGGGGCUCAACCUCCAGCCUGCAUUUGAAACUGUAGUUCUUGAGUGCUGGAGAGGCAAUCGGAAUUCCGUGUGUAGCGGUGAAAUGCGUAGAUAUACGGAGGAACACCAGUGGCGAAGGCGGAUUGCUGGACAGUAACUGACGCUGAGGCGCGAAAGCGUGGGGAGCAAACAGG
rnacentral:rRNA from 1 species